AGCGAACGUUUGCGGCGGGCUUAACACAUGCAAGUCGAACGGGCUGUUCCUUCGGGGGCAGUCAGUGGCGCACGGGUGCGUAACACGUAGGUAAUCAACCCUCUGGUUGGGGAUAACACUUCGAAAGGAGUGCUAAUACCCGGUAUGGCGCAGCGGUCUUCGGAUCGCGGCGAGAAAGACCCGCAAGGGUUGCCAGAGGACGAGCCUGCGGCCCAUCAGCUAGUUGGCGAGGUAACGGCUCACCAAGGCGAAGACGGGUAGCUGGUCUGAGAGGAGUGAUCAGCCACACCUGGAACUGAGACACGGUCCAGACUCCUACGGGAGGCAGCAGUGGGGAAUAUUGCGCAAUGGGCGAAAGCCUGACGCAGCCACGCCGCGUGAGCGAUGAAGGCCUU
rnacentral:rRNA from 1 species